AGGUUGCUUCUGGUGGGCACAGACCCGGUUUGAAGCUUUCCGGGUUCUCGGCUACUGGACUCCUUGAUCUUAUGUCUGAUGAUUAUGGUUAUGAUCAUGAUUAUGAAUCUGAUGAAGAAAAAGAAGAAGACGAAUACAUAAGAAGUGUUGUAGAGGAAAUUGUGGAUAUACAGAGUGAUGAUGAUGAUGGUGAAAAGGAAGAAGAUGUGUCUCAUGAUGAUGAUGACGGAAGGAUGAGUUUCUGUGAUGUGGGGGUGAUGAUGAUGAUGAUGGAUCAUGUGGAAGAAUUUGAUGAAGAAGGAUGGUGUUUGGUUGAAGAAAUGAUGACUUAAUUGAUCUAUUUGAUUUAUUCCCCCCAAAUAAUUGUAUUUCCUUUUGCUUUGUAAAUUGUUUUAAUAACUUUGGGGG
rnacentral:lncRNA from 1 species